rnacentral:rRNA from 1 species
CUACGGGGGGCUGCAGUGGGGAAUAUUGCACAAUGGAGGAAACUCUGAUGCAGCGACGCCGCGUGAGUGAAGAAGUAUUUCGGUAUGUAAAGCUCUAUCAGCAGGGAAGAUAGUGACGGUACCUGACUAAGAAGCACCGGCUAAAUACGUGCCAGCAGCCGCGGUAAUACGUAUGGUGCAAGCGUUAUCCGGAUUUACUGGGUGUAAAGGGAGUGUAGGUGGCAUGGCAAGUCAGAAGUGAAAGCCCAGGGCUCAACCCUGGGACUGCUUUUGAAACUGCCGAGCUAGAGUGCGGGAGAGGUAAGUGGAAUUCCUAGUGUAGCGGUGAAAUGCGUAGAUAUUAGGAGGAACACCAGCGGCGAAGGCGGCUUACUGGACUGUAACUGACACUGAGGCUCGAAAGCGUGGGGAGCAAACAGGAUUAGAUACCCUCGUAGUC